rnacentral:rRNA from 1 species
CAGUAGCCGCGGUAAUACAGAGGGUGCAAGCGUUAAUCGGAUUUACUGGGCGUAAAGGGCGCGUAGGUGGUUAUGUAAGUGAGAUGUGAAAUCCCCGGGCUCAACCUGGGAACUGCAUCUUAUACUGCGUAGCUGGAGUGCAGUAGAGGGUAGUGGAAUUUCCGGUGUAGCGGUGAAAUGCGUAGAUAUCGGAAGGAACACCAGUGGCGAAGGCGGCUACCUGGACUGACACUGACACUGAGGCGCGAAAGCGUGGGGAGCAAACAGGAUUAGAUACCCGGGUAGUCCCUGUCUCUUAUCA